UACACAUAUAAUGCUCUACACAAUGCAUUUAAUUAUUUUCUCUUUCCCAAAAAGAAGGCUCAAAAGUACUUCUCUCUUAAAGUCAAACAAAAACUUUACUAUUUCUUAUAAAAAGAAAAAAACAAAAGGGGAGCAGCUUUCUUUCCUUCUUCUGAAGCCGCAUAAAUCAAACCUUAUAUUUUUUAUUUUUUUUGUUCUUAAAAAUUACAAAAGUGCUUCAUAGCAUUUGAAACCAUAACAAUCACAACAGCAAAUUAAAGUGAAAGGUCAAAUAAAAAAAAUUGAUGUGUCUUUCUGAAUUGGGGUGCGUCCAACCAGAUUUUAGCGACGCGUUUGACAGGCAUCUAACAGGAUCCGCCAAAAAAAAACCCGCCAUGGCGGCGCUUCUAAUCAGAUCCAAAAAUUCAUACAACCAAUAAUCAAGAUUUUCUCACAGGUAUGUUCAUACAUAAAUUUCUCUUAAACUUAAAAAAAUAACAUGUAAAAACGGGGCAAUAAACCCGUCUCUGAUGCCAUUGUUAGUUUAUUCGGAGCAAAAACAUAAAUCAGUGUGUACCUUAAACUUGCAGCGGAAUUUGAUUUUGCAACCGAAAAGAUCUGCCCCACGUCUUCUUUGAAUCUCUUGGAAACAAAGUUAUAGAAUCACAAACUAAAUGCCUUAAAGUUUCACUGCCUUGUUGUUGUUUUCCAUUUGGCCUUUUGUUACUGUUUUUCUGACUUUUACAUAGGAAAAGAAGUGGUAAUAUAUUGGGAAAGUGGAACAGUAACCGUUCCCCCCAAGUUUUAAAAUUAAACUUAUCUCUUCUUUUUCCCCUUAUUUUGUCAGAUAAUUCAAAAACAAAUUAAAAAACUAGGUCGAGUCGGGUUGGUUCGGGUCACAUGAGCGACCCAUGACCCUUAAUUCAACAUAUCCUUUUAACUCAAGCGAAAUUCUUGUUGGUGUCGUGCCUGUUCAAAUUGUUGCUUCUUUACACAAAAAAUUUUCUUUGCAAACAACAACAAAAUAAAAAAGAAAACCCAUAACUCAAAUUCAUACAAUUCCACCUUUUAACACAAAUCCCACAACUUCUCCACACUCUCCUCCCCCAAAACAAAAAAUAAAAAGACCCAUGUAAUGAAAAAUAGAAAAGAAAAACUGCAUACCUUAUGACCCUUUUAACAGUAAUGCCAUGAUAUUAUUUGUAGACUAAAAGUCCCAACCCUAUUUAAAGUCAAUUAGGAGUCUAUCUACUCAUUCAUAUAUCAUACACGCCUUGCCUUCUAUAACAACUCUCAAGUCACACUAAUGGAUCCCUCUAAGGGACUCAAAAUUGAAGCUGGCGAACGUAUUGAUAGAGUUACAAAUCUUCCCAUUAAUGUCAAACACCAAAUUCAGGAGAAUUUGACUAUUGAUGAAGCUGCAAAAAUGAGUGUUUUGUGUAAAUUGUAGAGACACGUUUGGGCUUCAAUCCCCAACCUCAUAUUUUCUCAGUUUUGCCCCAGUAAGUGUUGGUGUAUAUUCAUUUUAUUAUGAAAUUAAUAUAUUAAGUGCAUAUGUUAGUGGGUAUAAAUUGUGUAUUCUGAGUAUUAUUACUUACAUUUGUUAGUGGAAGAAUGUGGUCAUAAGUUUCUUGAAACUCCUAUAACCACUAAGUCUUUAUUUUUCCAUUAUACUAUGUAAUUAUAAUUGUAACUCAUGUAACAUCCAACUAUUCAUGAACCCACUUUACUACACCACAUUCUUCCUAUUCAAUACAAGGAUGAAUACCUCACCUAUAAAUAGAGGUGGUCUUGCAUGUUAUAUUGCAUGGACUAGAAAAUAUGAUAAGUGUGAAAUAGAUUAUAGUGUGUAGCAGUGAAAGAGAGAGUUGAGACAAAGAAAAUAUUCUAAGUCUACAACUAUAUUCACUUUAUAAAUGAGAGUUAUUAUAUUAGUGAAAGAAAGAGUUGAGACAAAGAAAACAAUCUAAGUCUUUAACUUUAUUCACUAUACAAAGAAAGUAAAUAUAUGUUGAAGGAAGGUGUAGAGCUUUGGACUCUUCAACUAAUCCAGAGUUGUUUGAGUUGUACAUCAUUGAUGGACUGUUGUAUCCUGGAGGGGAUAAGUCACUAGAUAUACUGUUGGAUCGGUGUAGAUUAUGUCACAGUGGGCUUGAAUCUUCUUAAAGAAAGCGAGAUAUCCGCGUCUCAGCCAAGAAGAAGAUUAUUUUAUUUUCUUUGCUUUUAUUCAUUUUAUUUUCAACUGUAAUCAUUUAUUGUAAAUGUGGUAUAUUACACCAACAAUUUUAAGGAGAUUCAUGUUUUGGUAUUGUUUACAAAAUCAUGGAUAUCGAGAUGAGAGAUCUCAAAAGAUAGAUGGCAAGAGAUAACAAGUAUCUUUCUAUUUGCUCAACUCAAGGGGAUGAAAGAUAAAAAUACUUGCUCAACUCAAGGGGAUGAAAGAUUCAAAACUAAGGCCUUAGCAAGAAAAUAGUCUGAAUUACAUCGAGGGGGAGGAAGAAAGCCUAUAAAAAAUAUCAUGAGUUAUAUAUAUGGAAACCCAACUUGGAGACUAGAGAUCCUAUAACCAAGUUCAAGGGGAAGAACGAAUCAUAUAAUGACUUGGUGUGAGAUGCACUAUUGUUUAAUUCUUCCUAUGAUGUGAGUGCAUUUUAUUCCUGUAAUGAUUUGUGAAGGUUGAGUCUAAGAACUCUUAAUGAAAUUUUGUAUCUCUUAUGAGUGGGGUGUCGAAAUUACAGGACCACCCUUGAAAGAUUUCACCUAAAUGAGUGUGGAAGUAGGCCACUUCCUAUGAGAAUGAGGCUUAUUCUCAAAAAACGCUCAUGAAAAAUUGGGCUAGCACAUGGCGUAAUGUGCUGCCUAUUAAAGCUUAUGUCAACACUUUUAUUAUUGUGUAUAAGCAGUAAUACUUUAUUUCCCUUA